rnacentral:rRNA from 1 species
AGCGAACGCUGGCGGCAGGCCUAACACAUGCAAGUCGAGCGCCCCGCAAGGGGAGCGGCAGACGGGAGAGUAACACGUGGGAACGUACCCUUCGGUUCGGAACAACCCAGGGAAACUUGGGCUAAUACCGGAUACGUCCGAAAGGAGAAAGAUUUAUCGCCGAGGGAUCGGCCCGCGUCUGAUUAGCUAGUUGGUGGGGUAAUGGCCCACCAAGGCGACGAUCAGUAGCUGGUCUGAGAGGAUGAUCGGCCUCACUGGGACUGAGACACGGCCCAGACUCCUACGGGAGGCAGCAGUGGGGAAUAUUGGACAAUGGGCGCAAGCCUGAUCCAGCCAUGCCGCGUGGGUGAUGAAGGCCCUAGGGUUGUAAAGCCCUUUCGGCAGGGAAGAUAAUGACGGUACCCGCAGAAGAAGCCCCGGCUAACUUCGUGCCAGCAGCCGCGGUAACAC